GUGGAAUGUCGCAUUGAAACAACUGGUCAUGGCAAAUGCAAUAUAUAAAAAAACAUUUGACCAUUCUGGAGUCAUAAAUUUGCAAAGAAUCGACUUUAUCUAACCAAUGUUUAUGAGAUGAUAAAUACCACAAAUAAAACUGACCACAACAUAAACCUUAAAACAAACUACAUUUGCAAAUAAUCAACGGAAAAUGUAAGGGGAAAUACCAGAACGAACAAGAAAUUUCCUACUUUGAACAUUUUGAUAAAAACUUGUACAUUGACCAUUAAACAUUUAUCGGAAAAAAGAUGUUUCUCGACCAGAGCAAUGAAAUGAAGUCCGCUGCUAAUGUGAUUGCAAAGUACCCACACAGAGUGAAAGCCGUAUCAUCUGAUUCUGAACGGAUUUUGAUGGACUUCGGCAGAAGUUUUCAGAUGGUUAAUAAGACAAUCCAUACCAAAUUUUGAGCAAAAAAUUUAAUAAGAACGGCUGAUUAAGUGUAAAUAGGGCGAUUUAUAUACAUUAGAGUGAUGACUUUUUUACAACCUCA